rnacentral:rRNA from 1 species
UACGUAGGGGGCUAGCGUUGUCCGGAUUUAUUGAGCGUAAAGAGCGUGUAGGCGGCCAUGUAGGUCCGGUGUGAAAACUCGAGGCUUAACCUCGAGAUGUCAUCGGAAACCAUUUGGCUAGAGUCCGGAAGAGGAGAGUGGAAUUCCUGGUGUAGCGGUGAAAUGCGCAGAUAUCAGGAAGAACACCAAUGGCGAAAGCAGCUCUCUGGGACGGUACUGACGCUGAGACGCGAAAGCGUGGGGAGCAAACAGG